CGUCUUACUUUUUGAGCAAAAAAAUAAAAAUUGAAAUUUUUGCACUUUUUUAUUUUCUUUCUCGAAAACUAUGAUAGGUCGGUCAAUGGGACCUUCACCAUUCGAUUCGGCAUGUUCAAAUUAGUCAAAAACAGCAAUAAUUUUAACAACCUUCCGUCCUUCUAUCUGAACACAGCAAUUGUUCUGAAUAUAUUCUCCUCUGCUCCUUUGUAUACACUUCAUUCCCCCACCACUUUUUUGUGCGCGUAGCGCGACCAUCUUCGUUCGCUGUUGGUUGGCUCACCGAGGCCAACUUCCUUGGCGAUUUUCUAGGCCAGCCUUUUUCUAGGCUAACUUCACACACAUCUGCGGCCGACGGGGGAGCUCCUUAUAUACCAUAAGCACCCACCCACUUUUCAUAACCAAAAGAUUGCCCUUCUACUAGAAUAUUCCCACCCAUCGGUCGACGUGAGAGAAUUCAGGCAACCUUUGUACCUGAAUUCUCCAACGUCAAAAGAAUUUACUUUUCAUCCCAAAAAUAGACUUGUUAAUUCUCAACAAUUGAUUUCCCACAAAAGAUUAUUAGACUGAUUUUUAAAAUUAAUUUCACUAUUAGGAUUUUAAUUUUAAAACCCACUUAACAAAAAAUUCAUAAAAAAGAACUAAGAACAAAACGUACAUAAUGCAUUAACAAACCCCGUAAAUUAAUUUGAUUUCUCUUAACAAAAACAAUCCUUAAAUUUUUAUACCAAUGCGCUAUGACUGAAGAACUUUUGAUCAAAUAAAAAUUCGGGCUGUUAAGCAAAAAAAUGCUUUAAUGUUGUGUCCAUGGAAUACAGAAAUUCUGGGUUAGUCCGCUGUUUCUUAAUCGAACAGACCGAAGCCCAUGUCGUCGUCAGAUUCCUCUUCUGGCUCUUCCUUCUUUUCCUCCUUCUUUGCAGCAGCAGGGGCAGCAGCACCAGCAGCGGCGGCUGAAGAAUUUUUAUUUUAUUUUAAAUAACUUUUAAGAGACUGGGGCAGUUCCAAUGCCGGAUCCCACGUUGGUGAUCAGGUCCUUGAUGUAGACACUUUAAAGGGCCUUGGCAAAGAGACCUGGUCAGUAGGGCUCCACUUCAAUGCCAGCAGCCUUCAGGAUGGUCUGGAUCUUCUCACCCUGUUAUGAAAAUAUCAACAGCGAAAGAACGCGCCGAAUAUGGACGGUGCGUUUUUCAUUGAGGAAGUGGUGGUGCAAGUUCUUGGAAUCUUAUUGAUUUGCUGACUCUCAAUUAUCCAGACCCAUCACAUCACUGGUGCUCGGCUGCUCUUGAUCCAGUUGAUGGCAAAGGGAAGCCAGUCAGGCAGAGGCUUGUUGGGAAAAUCGUCCAUUUGUGGGUCAUCAAUGGCCACGAUGAUGAGAUCGGCAGUUUUUCCAGGUUCUUGGUCAGUCUAAACAUGGAGAGUUCUCUGUAGAGUUCCGAUGAGAUUCCUGACUCAGGGAUGACAACCUGGACAGGUAUGCCGUGGCUGGAAAGUUGUCUGGCACAGUUGGCACCUAGAACGGCACUCCUCUGACUACCACAGAAGACGACCACAUUUGGAAGUUGAUGGGCGUUUCGAGGAUUCAGUCUGUGUAUGUUAAUAAAAAUGAUAAA